rnacentral:lncRNA from 1 species
CGGAGCGGAGCGGAGAAGAGAGGAGCGGGCGGCGGGGUGAGCUCAUCCCGGGCGCUGAGCGCAGCCGAGCGGCGCGGAGGGCGAGCCGCCGCGGCAACUUUCUUGGCUUCCUCUGCUUUUACUAAUGCGAUGGCUGUUGUUCUGGCCCCUUCCUGCAGACGUCACUGAGAUUUCAGAUACACCUAGAGAACAACAGGCCUUAUAAGACCAGACUGCUGAGGGGGAAAGGAGCCUCAGUUCUGGUAAGAGCUGCAUGGUGGUGAUGGCAGUCACUUGGAGGAGCUGUGGAAUUUAUGCAAUUGCAUGGCAGAAACGUAAGCUGGAGCAUCUGAGUUCUUAAAUAUCAGUUUUGGUUAAGCGUGGGAGAGAUCUGAAGGUGCCAACGGGCAGGACAGGGGCACUGUCAGAAGAGGACAUCCUGACAUUGAAAAGAGGUUUGAUCUUCUCUCAUCGUGCUUUUAAAUGUUGGACAGUGAGGCUGCAGGUAAAGCAGCAUUUGUAAUGAUUUACUCUUAAACUCUGGAUCAUGUACAAGAUAGGUUUGUGACAUGAGAUCAGUCCCUUUUUAGAGAAGCAAAAUGAAUUUUUAUGCCCAUCUGAGAGGGAAAUGUCUAAGAUAAGCUUUGUGUUGUCUGACAUCAGUGCCUUGUGGUAGAGGCCUCACGUGAAGCAGUAAUGGGGCUGGGCUCCUCCUCCUCCCCAUCUCCCCGUUCUCAGCUUCCUCCUCUCCAUCUCAGCUGCUGCUCUUUGAUGUGCAAUCUGGACUCAGUAGGCCCUGUCUCCCUCUCCAUCACUUCUCAGAACAGGUAUCUUUGAUCCCUGUUCCCUUAAAACACUGAGGAGGUACAGGUCACGUCACCUGCGGUGACUAUGUGCAGGACCUGAUACUAGACCAUAAGGAAUCAUGAAUCCUCUAGGUGAAUAACUUGUUGUUUGUCUGCUGUAGUAAGACAGUUUUGCAGCUCUUGGCAGUAGUCUGUCAUAAAGUUUGAGUCUUUGUCAGGUGCUCUGCAGUGAUCAGUAUUACAGGGCCUGCUGUAACACAUAGCUGUUUCCUCUGUGUGGAAGAAGGGAGAAAAAGAGCAAAGAGAGCUGCCUUAGUUGGUGGGAACAGCGUACCCAAACUUAUGGGAAGGUUACAAAAUUAGAACGCUGGUUCGAUGGUGCUGUGAUCAGGGCUUUAGGAUUCCCAGUAUCGGAUCAGAAGUACAGUGGUCACAUCAUGGAAAAUAUUGAUCUCAUAAAUUAUUUUUUGCUUUAAUUAAAGGAAAAGAAAAAGGAUGUCAGGUGCCAGCAUGCCUAUUUUAUAUUAGACAUUAUUCAGAUCACUACUAUUUUGUACUGGAUUAGAUAUUAGGCACUUUCACUGAUAGCAAUUUGGUACCACGUUCUGGUGCACCUGAUAGAAUUUAAUUACAUGCCUAAGUCUCAUUUGAUGUAAACUUGCCUUGUUCUGUGAUGAAGUAGUACAGAUACUUGCUGUUAAGGGCGAUGAAACUAUCAUUCAGUAUCUUCUGUGACUUCCAGGUGAGUUUGCAGGUGUUUUAAAAAGCUUAGUUUUACAGCUUUGUUUUUUAACUGUUAGUAAUUUAAAAACACACUUUGAUUUUGUUCAACAUUUGAAUGCUCAAGGAGAGGAUGCGUGCACUGUGCAGCCACUCUUGUCUAAAAUUGUGGAAGGAUGCUUUCAGAUGUAAUAAGUAUGAGUCUUCAUCACAUUUAUCUUCAUUCUGUUUGUUGUUUAUUAAUGUUAUGCCAAAACCUAUUUCUAAUUUUGUAAGAAGAAAAAAUAAUUCAUCCCUAGUGAAGCAGAUUUUUUUCUUGCAUUCUCCGUAAGUUUCUUGAUAUAUUUGUGUGUUGUCUGUCAUUUUUUUUAAAUCUGGAGAAUGUUUAAAAAUAAUGGCUCCGUUAAAGGAAAGGAUUUUAAUGGGAUCAUAAAUGUUCUGUUGGCUCUUUCUUAUUAAACGUGGUUUAGAAACGGAAUCUCCUUCUGAAGCCAUUUACAUAUUCUUCUAAGCUCUCCGUAGUUGACCUGAUUCUACCACAAGCUGCUGUUUGUCUUUCAGGAUGUGAAUUGGUCUUAUCUUUUUAAGACUUCUGACCUUUCUUUAAAUCAUUUGGAAAAGGGAGAAAUGUGAUCUUCUAGGGUUGUGACGAAGUGGAAACUCUGUGGUGGUUUUUUGUUCUACUCAAAAAUGCCACUCAACAUCUGAGGAUCGUUUCUGACAGAAGGGGUUCAUGAGCAGUGUUGUGGGUCUGAAAGUGCUGCGAGAGACACAUUUGCUGUUGUUGCAGCGGUGGGAAACGGCUGACAAAGCAGUUUCUUAAGGACUUGGUUUCAGAGCAAUUUUGUUUUUAACUUCCAACUCUUAGGAAUUCAGUUUAAAUUUUCUCUUUCUAUAGUGGUUUGGAAAAAGAGGGAUUUUUCACUGUCCUAGAAGCCGAAGGGUCUUUCUUUGGUGUGAUAAUGGGAUUUUAAUGGCUUCACACAUGUUUUUGGUAGGAUUGUCUGGAGGCAUCAUGCAGAUAAUCUGUAUGAGAAGAGCUUAAUUCUGCACGCUCAUCCACCUGCAGACCGCCAUGUGUUUAUGGAGGCCCCUUCACUGGCAGAUAGUUACCCCUUGGCUCUCAGGGUCCUCCCAUCACAACGUGCUGCCCUGAGCAUAGUAAAGGUGCUUGGGACGUUGUCCAGUUUGGGCAUCUCCAAAGGUGGAAAUUCUACAGCGUUCCUGUCCUGACCUGUUUCAGCAUUCAGUUACCUUUGGUGACAUUCCAUUUUUUGAUGUCAGCAAGAUGUUUCUGUUGUUUAACGUGCUGCAGCUGUAUUUCUGAAUGCUGUUUGAGUGCAGUGCCUGCCAGGAGCCGAGGGAAAAGGGUUCUCCAGGAUGCUAUUCAGAAAUUGCCUUUCAUUGUUUGAUUUCAGUUCAGUUUGUGAGCCAUAUCUCAGCAGCAAGCUGGAGUUAUUCAAUGGAUAGUAGUUCAAAUUCACUUUUUGACCCGCUAGUCCAAUGUGUUACACCUUCUGGAAGCUUUCAAAGAAUGCCAUUUGUAUCGGCAGUGUUCUGCUGGCUUCUGGGAACAGGUGGCCUUAUCCUUCUGUAGGUGUGCACAGAAAUGUCCUGUCUGUGGAGGGUUGGCACACCUGUGCCUUCCGCCUGAAACUUGCCAUUGAAGGAUUCGUUUCCAUGCAUACACACGAGUCAGUCUACUAGAGGUCUGUGUUUUCCUUUCUCUGGAAACACGGCAUCUUUUUUUCCUAUGGAAAAAAAAAAUGCAUAGAAAUGCAUGAGGAAAAAUGUGUAGUGCAGCCUCUGUUAAGGCUCGGUAUCAUGCACUGAACAGGACUUCACUAUGGGACACUGAUGUUCUGUGUGCCUUGCUGUUUGUUCUUCUCUUUACCACACUUCUAAUGAUAGCUAAAGCACAGUACAGAUUUACAGCAAAAUUUAUUAGCUAUUUUUGUGUGAUGGUUAUUUUGUAUCAGAUUUGAUUACGUACACACAGGUGGUUUGGGAAACCUUGCUCAUUCCACACACAGCAAGUAUCCUGUAGAUCCAGUGUAGUAAUUUUGAUGUUAGUGUCAAUGUUAGUUUCAAUACCUUGAGUAAGCAGAAAGCAGCAGUAAACGUGGAGGUGAAUUUUGGUGGAUAAAUGGGAGCUGUAGGCUGCAGGAGGUCCCUGGAGACCACCCAGUCCAGCUCCACCUCUCAGAGCACAGCCUAUGUAAAUCAGAGCUGUACAGUGAGAGUACAGCUGUGAUGAGUUUGGCACAGCCCUUGCUGUAAUCUCCCUGGAGGUUGGUGUAAAAGCAAGUUGACCCACCCAAACUUUCUGCAGACUAAGAAACCCAGGUGUCCCAGCUCCACGUGUUCAUCGUGUGCUUCAUCCCCAGCCACUUCAUGGGCCCUUUGCUGAACCUGCUUUGCCACGACUUCCUAAUGCACUCUGAAACUGAGCCACUGUUGCAGGAAUGCUGAAUAGAAGUGAACGUUACUUGUUAGGUUUAGGCAGUGCUGAUGAACCCUGCAAGGCAAAUGCUGUUACUUAAUCUUUCCUGUGGUUUGAGAUGAUGUGCUUUCAAAAAUUUCUAUUUUCAUCUCUAGAUGCAUGAGAAACUUUUGAUUGAAUCAUUUUUACCAUAGCACUUUCCAGAAAGCAUUAUUUACGUUGUCUGGCUUGAAGGAGACUUUCUAAUUUGUAGCCAAACUUGUUGCAUGCAGCUGCAGAUUUAAUCAAUAUAUUUCACUGCUCUUUGAAGUUUUUUUUUCCUUCUAAAUUGAACUUGGUGGUUGCAAAUCAUUGUAGUUAUUCUACUGAUGUAUUUUACUUGGUGUAGCAUGUUAUGUUGGUUUGUAUUGUAUUUCUUCAGCCCAGCCAUCAAACAAACCAUUGUGGUUGUCUGACUUUCAGUGGAAAAAGUAAUUUUCUACCCACUUUAUUCUUAGCAUCUUAGUAUCAGCUUUCAACUUAUAAAUUACCGUUUGCUUGAUCUGCAUGCAAGGAUGCACUUUGCACCAUGUUUUAAUGUGUUGCCAUUAAAAUCAAUAGAACUCAUGCCAGAAUAAAUGCUUAUGGCAGAAAUGUGAAAGCGGGCAUUAUCGAUAAUAGUGAAUAGGGGUUGCAGUAAUGGUGGUGGGGAGCAGAGAAGAGACAGUGAGUGUAUUUUUAUCUGGGCUGGGUUGAUCUUCCAUGCGAAGCCAUGAGAAAAGGCACUUUGUCCUUGCUGCUCCUAUCUCUUACCACAGCACGUGUGACAUCUCGCAGGCUGUGCACAGUCUGCAGAGCAGAGCUUGGUGUGGUGGGCGCUGUCACAGUGUAGAGCUGAGUUGAUGCAGAGCUCAGACCCUCAGCCUUGGGCUUGAGUCGGACCUCUCGUGGUAAGGCUUUCAAUACUGCAACUUUGGUUUUUGCCAAUGACUAACUGCUCUUGCUAAAACUUGCUGGGCCCCAGAACCCACUAUUUUUUUGGCAAUUGCACUGCUAGUGCUUUGGACUGGCUGCUGGCUGCUCCAUCAAUGGCUUAAUUUGUGAAGUGCUGUGCGGCGUUUUCAGGACAUGAGCCCUAACCAGCUUGCAGCCUGUGCUUGUCAUGGCAGUCCUGCCUUUCACCUCAUGGGAAAAGUUUUAUCUGGGGCAAUUAUGUAUAAUUGAACCACUCUUGCUAUCUUGCUAAUGUUACCUUUUUCUGUUAAAUACAUCAGUGGACACUGAUGAGAUAAAAAUGUAAACUGCCUCUAUUUGAUUAGUUUUGUGCUUCUUAGAUUAUUUAAGUGAUUCUUUUCAUCUGCCUUGAAAUUAAGUGGUUUGUCAUUUGGAAUUCCAGCCAGCUGUUGUUUCCUACCUCUGAUUGUUUAUUUUAUCUCUACAAAGACCUUUUUUUAAGUAAGCAUUUUUCGUACAGGUUUUUGUGUGCAGUUGUUACUUACUCUCUGUAAUUACAAGUGUGGACUUUCUAAGUGAUGAUUUGUUCUUCUAGAAUCGCUUGUAUAAGUGUGCACUGUUCAUGAAACUGUUCUGUGCUAAAACUGCAGUUUUAGUGUUUCCUCCAUUCAUUUUCCUACCAGGUCCACAUGAACAGUGUUUUUUCCCUUUGCUGUUUUCAGUUCAUCUGAAGAAAAAGUUAAUCCAGUGUAUUCACGAUGACAAACUUUUCCAAGUUUGAAAGCAUUAAAUGUGUUUCUUGCAGAAACUGUACUGUUCAGGAGCUUCUAAAACAGUACUGGGUGUGGACAAAGAUUAUCAGUUAGGAUAAGAGUAUGGCAAAUGGUGUCGUCUUUCACUUUUUGUAACAGGUUUUAUUCUUGCUGUUCAAAUUCCUAACCUUACUGUGGAAACAACAAUAUUUAUAGUGGAUAUGGAUCUACUAAAACUCACUAGACCUGCAGAAAGCAACUUGUUAAUGAACCACAUAUGUAAAUCAACACCUCAGCAGAAAGCAAUGCUGCGUUUUUAGGAUGGAGUGUCUUUGGGUUAAUUCAUAUGAAAUACAUGGCUUUUAUAUGGGAUGCCAUAGAUAUGUUGCUUUUUAGUGAAGAUUUGAUGUCCUGGAUCUUGAAAUACCAAAUAGUAUUUGUAUUUUGAGGGCUGAAGGAUAGGAAAGGAAAUAAAAACAUUCAUGUUUCUGACUUGAGUUUCCUCUGCAUGAAAUGCUAGUUAUGUGAAUAGGAAUACAGCAUUGCUAGUUAACACAGAUAAGAAGCAGUGUGGUAAACUUGAAUUAAUCUUUCCUCACCAUUCAGUACAUUGUUAAAUGUUUUAUUAAAACUGGAUUAUGUUAUUGGCAAAAUAUUAUAUGAGAUAGAAGUACUUGGUUUGCAUCCUUAGCCAGCCCUUGGGCUGAGAGGAAGAUGCACGUACAAGUGGGAAUUGCUGUGAAUGUGCUUCCUGCUGCUCUACUCUAGGACAGCAGCCUGUGCUAGUUCAGUAUUGGUCUGUGCUGGGACUGGAUUAUGCCAGAUGGUAACAGGGGUCAUUUUGACUUUUGCUGAGAAGGCUGAAUCUGGAACUCUCUCUGGCUGUUCUUGCAUUUCAGUAUGUACUCAGUUCAGGUUUUGAUAUGGAAACUAAAUGUGCUGGAAAGCAACUGUAGGCAAGGUGAGUGCAGAUCUAAAGUUUCCAGCAAACUCAAAGAAUUAAUCUAGUAAAUUAAUCUAGUGAAUUUGUUUUAAUUUUGAAAUUCUUCAUUAUCAAAAAACCCAAACUGCCACCACCACCAAAAAUUCUUUAAAAGAACUCUUUAAAAGAACAAACCAAAUCACACCCAUCCUCUAGAGAACCUUAAGAGAAGAGAAAUUUAAUUUCAUUUUGCAGAAUUAAGAUGGAAUUAACCAAGCCAUUGGCUGAUGACCACUGAAAGAGGAGGAACAUGCAAUGGGCAGUAGGGAUCAUAGAAUCAUAGAAUUGCUAAGGUUGGAAAAGACCCACAGGAUCAUCCAGUCCAACCAUUCGCCCUUCACCCAUGGUUCUCACUAAACCAUGUCCCUCAACACAACAUCCAAAUGUUCCUUGAACACCACCAGGCUCGGUGACUCCACCACCUCUCUGGGCAGCCCAUUCCAGUGCCUGACCACCCUUUCAGAGUAGUAGUAUUUCCUAAUGUCCAGCCUGAAUCUUCCCUGGUGCAGCUUGAAGCCAUUCCUCUAGUCCUAAAUGUCCCUCUAGGCCUAAAAGUCCUAGGAUGUGUUGCUGCUGAACUCCAGACCUGCACCAAGUUGUCUUUUGGUUGAGAGCCAUUACUAAAGAAAAAUGCUACCAAGUGCCGCACUGCUUUAUAGGCUGACUUCGUUGCUUGCUGCAUCUCCUGAGGGGUAAACAUUAACUCCAGCCUGCGAGAAGAUGAAGCAAGAACUGAUGAGAAUGUGUUCCACCUAUAAUCAAUCACUCUUGCUUAUUUUUAUGUUGAGGUGAGUACUGUGUGGUUUUUUUAUGUUAGGAUAAUGGUGUUCAGUUAAGUUAUACAUAGACAAGUCCAUCUUACAUGUAUUUGUUGGAACAUAAGCAUUUCACUUCUGGAAUUUUACUCAAUGACAGUCUGGUCAUUUGAAAAUUAAGAGAGAAAUUGACUUUUAAAACAAACAAACCCUGAAGUAGCUCUGCGCAUCUAGGUAUGUGAGACUAUUGCUGUAACACUCCUGAGAGACUAUGGCAAAGGAUAUCUUAAAUGCAAGAGGAAGGUUUUUUUAGAGAGAGAAGAAAAGCACAGAAAAACCCACUGGUGGUUUUUGUUAACGUCUCGAUCCAGUGAAUUUUUCAAGUGCCAUUUAAAAUACCAGCUUCUUCAGAAUCAAGUAUGUAGGUUGCUCUGAAAUUAAUGCCUCUGAUUUAUUUCCAUGGAAACUACAAUGUAUACAGAGAGCACAGUAGCACUAUUUGAGAGGGCAAAUUCUCAUCUUUAAAACACUGUUUUCCAACAUAGUCACCAUCAUUACCUAUGCGUUUUUUCCAGCAACAGACAAGAGCCUGCAUGCCUUGCUCUUAAAAGUCGGCACCAAUGUAGGUGACCCAUUAUUUCACAGCUGCUGUGAUGGCACUGUUGCCACGAAAAUAUUGACUAUGCUGUCCAUCUUUCAUCAGUCCAAACAGAUGGAAGUCAGAAGGCACCAAGUAUGGACUAUGAAGUCACUGGGUGUGGUAGGACAGUCCAGCCAAGACUGGCAAUGUGCUUCGCAAUCUUCAAACUGGUAUGGGUCCUGCUGUUCUUGUGUUGCAAGAGAAAGGUUGUCUUCUUCUCUGGCCUGACUCUGGAAGUUUGAGCCUUGAGCUCAUGAUGCAUCAGUUGGAGUUGAUGGCUUGUUGGGUUGCAGGAAAUCCAGAAAGAUGACCCCUUUCCUGUCCUAAAAGACAGUGUACACUGCUUUACCUGCUGAGGGCUGUGACCUGAACUUUUUCUUCAGUGGGGAAUUCACGUUUCCACUCCAUGGACUGUUGUUUUAACUCUGACUCAUAGUGGUGACAUUGUCUCAUCACCAGUAAUGAUGUGAUCACCUUCAGUCCUGUAUUGGUUCAGUAGACCCUGACAAACUUGUAUAUGAUUUUCUUUCCGUUCCUGUGUAAUUGUGGGACCCACUUGGUGCAAAAUUUGUGAUAUUCCAAUGUUGCCACCAUUACUUCCAAUGCAUUGAAGCUGAUAUUCAUCUCUAUAUGCAGUUGUCUGGUUGUAUUCUGCCAAUUUGUGUGGAUGAGCUGAUCGAGACUCUUUGUUUCAUGGUGUGACAGCUGUGAGUGGCUAGCUGGAAUGUUGCUUGUCUUUCAGUUUGCUGUUGCCACUGCUGAAACAUACCACUCCCGAAGUGAGAGCCUGUGCUCUCACCCACUGUUUGGUCUCUGUAAGUGUUCAGCAAGUAUCGGUGAAUGUCAGUAGGUGCAGAUUUUUCCACAUGGAGGAAUUCAGUGACACACCUUUGCUUCAUAUGUACUUCCAUGUCAGACACCAUUCUGUCAGACUCCCCUCUGCUGCCGUCUGUCACGUGGCACGAAAUAUAAUGGAAUAGCUGGGGGAAGGUUCAAGCUCUACUGCUAUACCACCAUCAUCCACCUUUGAUGUCAUGGGCCAAUAAAAUGGGAGGCAUUACUUUUGAAACAAAACUCGUAGUUCAGAACUGCUUUACUCUGCUUGUUCAACUGGCUGUUCCUGCUGUGGGAUGUGAAUGGGGGAUGUGUUCAGCAGGCAAGUGUUCAAACUGAUUGUUCAGCUAAAGGAUGAUCUUGCCAAAAGGGCUUUUUGUGUUCAGAACAAAUUGCACAAAUUGAUUCCUUUUGUAUACCUAAAGGAAUAUUGAAGCGUAUGGCGCAUCCGUAAUUGAACUUGCCGUGUAGUUACAUUGACUUUCACAGUUCACUCUGCGAUACGCAGACUGAAUUGCUUAUAUCAGGCAUGUCCAGCCUGUGGGCUGCGUGCAGACUGGCAUAGCUCACAAUGCGCCUGAGAAUGACAACCACUUCCAUUGAAUUGGACUGAAGCGUUACUUUUGCAAAAGCAAGGUCAGAUAUCCUGCUAGUUCUUUGGUUUUAUUGUUCUCCUUUCUAUACGUUUUAAUAAGAACAUUAAAAAUAAAAUCAGUUUUGUUACUUAAAUACAUGAGCUAGAGUAUAUGUAUUUAUGGGGGCAGAUCUGAAAGUAAUGCCUCCUAUUUUAUGAUGUUGGCUCGCUAUGUCAGAGGUGGAUGUUUGUGGUAUGGCAGUAGAGGUUGAACCUUCCCAACAACAUUCCGUUACAUUUUGGUGCCAUGUGACAGAUGGCAGCAGAGGGGCAGUCUGAAAACAUGACAUCUGACAUGGAAGUGUAGAUGAAGCAAAGGUGCAUCAUUGAAUUCCUCCAUGUGGCACCCACUGACAUUUAUUGAUGCUUGCUGAGUGAUUGUAGAGACCAAGCAGUGCAUGUGAGCACAGUGGGAGUGGGUGGUGUGUUUCAGCAGCGGUGACAGUGGGUCAUCUCUGCUGGUGCAGAUUUCUGCAUGCACAGCACGCAGGCUCUUGUUCAUCGCUAGUGAAUAUGUGUCGCUAAUGGUAAUGACUGUGUUGAAAAAGAGUGUUCUGUUGCUGAGAAUUUGCUCUAUUAAAUAGUGUUAUUGUGCUCUUUGUAUCUGUUAUCAUUUCCAUGGAAAUAAAUAGGAGACACUAGUUUGAGAGCAACCUUCACAGUGCAACCCUGGCCAAUUCACUUCACUCAGUGUGUCCCAGGCAAGGGAAGGUUUGGUGUUCUUGGCAUAUAUGGUUACAGCUGUGGUUGAAAUCUCCUUGGUAAGGUUGGUUACAAGAGAAGAAUUUUAGAUUUCUUUUUUAUAAUGUUGUUGCUGAAAAUAUCAAAUCUCCAACCUCCAGUAUGAUUUAAGUGAAAAACAGUCUUUGUUUAUAUUAACUAUAUUAACCAGAUAUUAACUAUGGCAGGGAUAAGAUUAUAAAGAUUUUUGUGAACCUACAGUUGUAUUGAGGAAUUGAUGAGCAGGAUAAGAGUUCAUUGAGCUUGCACUUGCUUGUUACUGUAAUGCAGAAUGAAUUGCUCCUGGUGUGCAAGUGGAAAGAACAGAGGAAAUUAUGAAGGGUAAAAGCCAGCAAGCAAGUCCAGCCUUUUUCUAUUUCAGCAUAGGGUGAAAUGCUGUUGUUUUGAAUACUUCAGGCAGUGAAGUGGUAGUGGGCAGGCAUGAGGAGCUUCCACAAUACAGACCUUCAGUGACAGAAUACUGAGUUUGUGAAGGGAUUGUAGAUGUAUUUUCUGGCGUGUGUUUGUUCUGAAAUCUAAGAAUAUGAGGUGCAGUACUGGCUGUGAAAGCUGUUGGAAGCAGAGCAUUUCUUAAAAAUUGGUUUUAGUCAUGGCUGUUAGUACGGAGUAGCUUUGGGGAGUUGGUUUGGUUUCAAAAUAUCCUCAAAGGAUUUUCAUUUGAACUUGAGAAGCUUUUUAUCUUUUCAGGUCUUAAAGUUUUGGCUGAUAAAUUUUGUGGCACGCAGGAAGAAGCUCACAUUGUAAAGAAACUUGAAGAGGAGUCAGUUGAGAAGGAAAUCUCCUGUUCCUUUUGAAGAUCAAAUCCAUGGAGUGCAGUUAGACCAUGUCUGGAUUUUCUGUGCUAUUUCUUUUGCUUCGUAGCUGUUUCGUUGUAAUAGUUUCUGACCUCCUACUGUGGAGGAGUUUGUUGUUUAUGGAAUGGAAAGCAGAAUGACUUCAAAAGACAAACAAACAAAAUGAACCAAACAAACAAAAACACAAAAAAAAUUGGUAAGUGUUUGGAAGGGCCUUGAUGGACAGGAAGGAUCAUCUUACCGCAAAAUUGAUUCAGUACAGUAACUCUAUAUAGACUUCAAGCUCUUUCAUUUCUACCCAAGGAAACUUAACUUUUUUUUUCCAUGCAAUUCCAGAUUGGUUUUGGCUUAAAUUUCAUGGGUUCGGCUUAAUAUUUUUUAAACAUAAAAUUCUUCUGUGCUUGACACAAUGGAGAGCAGGCAAAUGCGAUUUGCCCUGUGUGCAGGUGUAUUUCAGCACGUUUCCUGGAAAGGAUAGCUGAAGGAAGAAGGAGAGUUGUCAUUUACUGUGGAGUUCCAGGUAGCCAGAAAUAGCUUAGGUUCUCUUUUCUUCUGAGAAGUCCUUCAAAAGGUCCUCGAGUAUUGAGUUCAGUCAUUCUUCUCUAAAAUGAUUUGCACUUUCUUAGUUAGAAUUUGUGUUGGUUUUGAUAGAAGAAUUUUUUUUGUGAAUUUUCAGCAUUUCUGAGGUACUUGUCGCCUAACCUAAGCUGCUCCGGGAGAACCUGCAUUAAUCUAUUGCAUGAAGGAGGAUCAUUUUUUCUGAAUGGUAGUGAGCACAUUUCGGAUGCCCAAAGUAACAGAAUGUGGCUUAGACAGAAAACCAUUUUUUUUCUUUGCUCGCUCUCCUUUGCAGUUUUGAUGCAAGGUGAUGUCUCCUAAAACAAUUUGUUUGACAGCUGAGGAAAAGGACUGAUGACUUGCACAGUGCACUUCACGAUGCACUGGAGUCCCCUGCUUGUCACACCUAUACCUGAAAUUGCAUUAUGACUGGUGUUUGUCACUGAAGGUGCCUGCUCCAGGAGCCUUGACUUUCCCCUGCUCUGCAUGGGACCUACCCCUCAGGUACAUGGCUGCACCAUGCAGCACACUGCCUUCUGCUCUCAGAUCUGCUUGCUCAACUGAGAAAGCAGCAGAAAGGAGAGAGGCUGCAGGAUGGUUGCUCAUCAAACCACAUCCUAAAGGUGGUGUAGCAACUUGAGGUGUAUGUUGCCAUCCCUUAAAGACCAGCAAAGCUGGUAAGCGCUUUGGAGAAGGGUGAAUCAAGCUGAAAAUAAGUCAAUUACUUGAAAGCUGGUAUAGCCUUCAUUUGUAAAACAAGCAGAGUAUAGGUUUUGCAAGUAUAGAGAAGAAGCUGUCUCAUCUUCUGAGUGAUUUGCAACUACAAUAACUCUUCUGUAGUUCUUUUUUUUUUUUUAUACCUGUCUGUGUUCAAAUGAGGGUGCUGACUGAGGCUGCUGUGGGUCGUUUUAGACACUAGAGGCUGAGCUGAGACAAACAGACCCUUUUCUUUUUUCCCCCCCCCCUCUCCUGGGGUGCAUCACUCCUUUCAUUUCUGAGUGCAGUUCUGAGAAGAAAAAAGCCUCAAGAGCAUCAGUGGUUUGAUGUAUUUAUGAUUUUUCUGCAUGUUCCUGUUGUGAAGCCUACUGUUCUCUUUUUUUCUCUCAUCUUUCAAAACUGUAUUACAGCAGCAUGGCCAUUGCUACCAAUCUGUGCAGGGCAGAUUGUUUCUGUGAAUGCAUUCCAACAGGUGUGUUGUUUUUGUUUUCCUGCCAUUUAUUUUGCAAUUUAGUAUGAACACAGUACUUUACAUCUGUAUGUCAGUCCAGUUCGAACAAGUUCAGCUCAAGUAGUGGUUGAGUUGCGGUUUUGAAGGCAUGACUGCUUGGCAGCCUACGUCUGUAAAUGCUUUGGUGCUUUCAGCACAUAAUGUUUUGGGGCAGUCAUAGUGCAAUUGCAUAAUCUUAAAUUAUGUGCUUUACAAAUGAGAGAUGAUUAUAAGGAUUGAAUGCGAGCAUGGAGCAGUUGAAAACUUGAUGCAUGAAAAAGAAUCUAAGCUCUUGUCAGUGCACCAUGCUUUUUUUUUUUUAAGGAAAAAAAACAACCCAAUUUCUUUAUGAGGGCAUGUCUAGUUCAAUUUAACAUGAACCUUAUGAUGCCAGAGGAAUGUGAGAGAUUUCUUCCAGUUUUUGUAGGAUUUCCUUAAUGCAAUGCAUUGUUCAACGUUGUUGCACUUCACUCUUCCCCUGCCCCAAAUGAUGGGCUGGAAACCAUUCAUUUAUUAUAAGGAGGAAAAUUAAGGGAAAGUUCUAGUAGUGUUCAGUACGUGUUUUACCCUAAAAUGAAUGAAACUUUUUUUAGGAUCUGAGAGUUGUUUUGCUUGUUGUUAAUGAAAGCUGUUCUCUCUGUAUCAGUUUUGGAUACUGUUCAAGUUAAGCCUUAGGUAGUGCUAAAACGGUGCCUAACAGUUCUUCACUAUUUGAGAAGAAAAUGUAAGAAAUAUUUGUAUUAUUGUAUUUCUUGUAAGUAUUUUCUUAGCUUCAGCACUGCUGGAGUUGGAGAUGACAGAUUUGAAAAUGUUAUAUUAAAAACUGUCUGUUUUCUGUGUAUUUGUGCUCCACCGCUUGAAUCAGAGUACAGUUUUGGCCUCGAUGUUGUCCAGUGGUUGCAUUCAUUAUGCGUUGUGGGGGAAAAAAUGUUCUCAAAUUUGUUUUUCAACACUGCUUAUCUGUCUGGGAUUUCUCCAAUCCUUUUAUGAUGUAAUAUCAUGGAUAAUAUUUUCCACUUGUGUUUUUCACAUUGUUUAUGCUUUUAGCUCUCUUUCUUAUCUGUCCAGGGCCGUAAGUUCCCAGUAACUUUUGAUGUAGGAAAGCUGUACCGCAUCUCUGAUCAUUGGUUAUGUUUUCUGUAGUUUUUCUGCCUGAGCAAUAUGCAUACAGUUACAAACAGUAAUCAAGAACUGCUGUGGUACGUCAUAUGUAGUGGUUAUUUCUACUUUGUUUUCCUUUCUAAAAUACCCCAGUUUCUUCCCAUGCCUUUUGGUGAUGUGAAGCUGAUCUAUUUCAGUGAGCAGGUGUUUUCUGGAAGGCUAAAAAAUGUGAAGCUUCCUUAUUGUGAUGAUUCACUUCAGGUUUACCAAUGUGGGUCCAAGCAUGGACCCCUGACUGUUCAGUAUAUCUUCUCUUCUUUUUCUUUCCCCUGCUUACGAUUUGAGAAAGCUUAUUGCUUCUGCUCAUAUCUCGCUUCGUGUUUGUUGAUUGGUUAUAAUUUGCAAGUAAUUUUUUCUCUCUCAUUCUAUGGUUAUUUGGUUUCUUCUAAGAGCAUUUGAUGAGGGAUCUUGCGGAAAGCUCCUCCUGAAGCUCCGUGUGUGUUGUUGGAUGUGGUAUGGUAUAUUGAAUGAUUUUUGGACGCUCAUCGUCUCCUUUUGCAGAUUGUGAGUGCAGAUCUGUGAAAGUCUGAGUGCUUUGCUGCGUAUCUUCUUCCAAAGAAGUGCUGUUCAGCUUUGAACAAGCAAGUAAAACAAGGUGAAUAAUAGAGGGUAUCUCUAAUAAGCAGAGCCAAAAGGCACACCUUGAAGUUGUGGCAAUGGCAUGAGAUAACUCUGAAUGCGUUUUAACCUGUUUGCAUUGUGCUGCCUUCAACCCGAGCUGCGGCACAGUAGAACUGGAAAUAUUUGAAAGACACACGUUCCCUGCCAGUUGCAAGCCAACCACACCCUGCCUUGGGUUUGCUACACGUAUAAAGGUGCAUUCUUAAUAUAGUAUAAACAGUUCCUCAUGGUUACUGCGUAAUAAGCUGGUUUAAUGAAGCCUUUUAAAGGAAUAAAUACUGUAAAACUCAGCUUUACCUAACAGGUUCCUUUGUUUGAACGCUUCCAGCUGCUGAAUAAAAUCUGCAAAUGCAGAGAAGCUGAAGCGUGCAAGAGGAGGAAUGCUCAGAAUAACUCUAGCCUGUUUGCCUGUGGAAGUAUUUCUCUGAGCCUUCUAGAAUACAUUAAAAAGCAAUCUCUGGCUGAGCUCUGGGGUUUUAAAUGCCAACUGGAAUACUUGUGAAGCAGUGCAUGAAUGAAGUUGUUUCUGAUAGCGUCUCCUGUUCUGUCUGCUAAUUCUCGAAUGAUAUGCUGAAAAAUUGCCUGAUAAUCCUAAUGUAAUUAGUGUUUCAAAGAUGGUAAUGUUCUUUGUAAGUUCAUUUUGCCUUUGUAACAGUAAUUGCAAAUACAGUAUGAAGCUCUGUAGUCCUUCUAAGAUAAGUCUGUUCUUCAGUACUCCAUUAAAAAAUGUCACAACUGCAGUAUAAACCAAGCAAAUCCACCAAAGUUUCACAGUGACAUCCGUAAAGAGAAAAUCCUCUUUUCUGACCUGUUCUUGGGCUUGAUUUGUUGGAAUAACAAGGGCAUUUAUUGCUUUUUAAUACCAAAGGUAAUGAUAUUUUUUUGGUCAGUGACUGCGUUGCUUCUUAUCAAAGCACAGUCUUUUAUUUCUGGGUGCUUUUAAAGUUAGAUGAAUUCUUGCUGGAGGAAAAUACACAAGUGUUCUCUCAUGAUGUGCUCCUAAACACAAUUACGGACCAGUAAACAGCAUAAGGACAUAUUUGUAAUACAGUAAUAAUAAGCUGUGGGCUGACAGUAAGGGACUGAAAAUAAUCUGUGAAUUAACUGCUUUAACAUGGAAGCUGCUCGGAGGCAGAAUAGAUUUUUGAAUCAAGGCCCAUUUGCUGUGUUUCAGAGUGCCACCUGCCCUUCUUGUGUAGAGCAGCACUGUGUUCUACUGCUUCUUUCUUGUUGAGGUUGGGGAGGAAGUCCGAGGAGUUUGAUAGGACUAACCUACAUUAAAAAUAAUUAGAACUGUAGUUGUAUAGUGGCUCUUUCCUGAUUUUUAAAAAAACAAAACAACUUGCAUGUAGUGCUUUGUUGUAAUUAGGUUAAUGUAAGUAGCUAAUUACACUUCCAUUACAUUUCUACAGAGUUUUAAAACCAGAGAGGCAGGAUUAUCUUGGUACACUGUGUUACCGCGUGUAAUGAGGUGUAAUAAUAAAACAGUUCGGAUUUUGAAACUGUGUUCAGGGUGAAUUUUUUGUUUGUUUUCUUGGAUAUGAAACUUUGUGAGCUCGUAAGGAAACUUUAGUAAGAUCUUUGCAGAUGAGGAAGGUGUUAAUUGAAUUUGGUAAUAACGAUAAGUUGAAAUCGAGGAUGUCUCAGAUUGGCAGACUUAAUCGGGGAAGUAAACACAACAUGCAUGCAGUGUUGUAAUACUGAGUGAGGUUGAUGCUCACAUGGCAUAUGAUUGUGGCAGUUGAAACUCUAGUUUUAACUUAAGUAAAAUGUGCUCUUGGGACUUUCUUCUGCAAGUUGUGGUUGGUGAUUUGUGAGGUUGAAAUACCAAGUAUUGUAUGUUUAGAGGCUGUCAGGAUCAUUAUUCUCUAGAAUUACAUGUUAAAUUUUAGGGAUAGCUUGUAAGGUUCUGAAAUUGGCAGUUUAGUAAAGCCAAAUGCUGUUUCUUUGUAAAUUUUCGAAGUGGUUCUGUUAUGUAAGAAGAAUAAACAUGUAAAAAUCAUAUGACUCAAAGCCUGCUAAAUAUACAUGACUCUUCUCCAGAGGUAAUCAGAAAGUGCUCUGUUAAAUAUUUGGGAGUCUUAUCUUUAUACUAAAGAUUCCUGACUUAAAGAAAAGCAGUGUAGUAUUCUCAGAUAUCUUUUAAUUUCUGGAAAGGUUCCAUUAUCAGGUAGAUUUAAAAGGGAAACUUUGUUAACCAUGAACUGUAGAAUGGUGAUACUGAAGAUUAUUUCUGUUACCUGAAGUUGGUAACAAACCAGGUUGAGAUCAGUACUGGCAAUGGGAAUUCUGAUUUUCCUUUUAUUUCUAUUUUCAGAUUUUGCUUUUCUAGGAUUGGUGAAUUUAUUUCAAACUUGAGAAUGGCUACAAGUGACAGCUUCACCAAAAAUUUGUUGUUUCUGAAGGGAAAUUUUCAAGCAUCUUUUGAGCUUGUAUGUGAACAGCUGAAUGAGUUGGUGCAGUGAUUUAUAUUUACAGUUGUACAUUGAGUUUGGUUAACAUCUUAUAUCUUGCUUUAUUGUUGCAAAAUUGAGUUUUCACAGCCUUUUUUCUCUAAUGUAAUGCAGAAGCAGAAUGCUGAAUUGCAAAAAAAGAAUGCUGUGAUAGCACCUGUGCAUAAUAUAAGGGUGGUCUCAUUAAGCUAUGGGGGGGAGGGAGAGGGUGGAAAACCCAACAGAAUGGAUUGCACCUUUUGUACAGUUUACAUGUACAAGACUCAUCCAGAUCAUUUAUAUGUCUUGUAAAGCUCCAUUCUUCCUUUCCAGAGGCUGAUAGCCUGCCUCUUAGCAAUUCCCAUUGCACUGUAAAAUUUCUGUUUAUGAUGCAAAAAAACCCUCAUCCCUGUUUUCUGAUAAUAAUGGAACUAAAACUGAUCUCUUACCACCUUUUCAGUCCUCUUGUUGCUACAGCAGGAUUUGUGGAAGAAGUUCUUAAGUUCACAAAGGGUGCUGUGUGUAUACUGAGCAGUAGAUGAGUGUGUUUGCUGGAAAGGAAAACUUUUACAUGGGUACCAUUGGACUGCCUUCAUUAGCCUUUGGGGCCAAAUAUGGUCCCAGAGUUCUCCCAAGAGUGUUAGGGAGACUGAGCAGCACGUGUUGCUACUCCUUUUCCUGCUGAGGGGCUAAUGCCAUGAGACUGAGUAAACAGGAGCUGCUCAGGAUGGCUCAGUUCACUGCUGUGCUAAGCACAGGCCAAGUAACAGGAUGGGUGGGAGAUGUUCUGGGAUUGAUUGGCAUAAAUGCAUGCUAUUCUGUGACCUGACGUGGAUCUCCUCAAUCUGGAGCUGCUGCUGAACUGUAAUGGGCUCUCACCUUCCGUUUUAGUGUGAUGAACAGCUUGUGAUGGCCAUGAGUAAGUGCUUGGAGCUUUUAUUUUUUGCCUUUGCUUUCAGCUGCCCACCUUCUCUCUGCAGGGAAGCACAUGGGUGGGACACAGCCCUGUAGCUUGCCGGAGAAUUUUUUAAUUUUGGUGUGUUGAGUAGGUGUAGAUCUUCUGGAACUGAAGAGCUUAAUUCACAUCCUUGUGGUAAGUUCCAGAUUUCAGGGAGUCAGCUUUUCAGGAAGCAGAGGAUCAGAGAUGCUGUGGUGUCUCUGCGGUACUUUGGUUUGUAUGACUGACCCCUGCUCUGCUCCUACCAGAACUGUGUUACUCUGCAGACGAUGAGCUGAGCUGAUAUACCUUGAAACAGUAGCUGUGUGUUUAUAAGGGAAAUAGGUAAAAAAUUAAAGCUCGGACUUCUGCUGCUGUUCUGUUUUCCAGUUCUUUAUGAACAAAUCUCUCUGCCCAAGAAACAAUUCCUCAUCUGUUUCCAAUGUCAAAGGAUAGACAACGAGCUCUGAAAGCAGUAUUUACUUGUAGGAAUGUGAGACAAAUAUCUUGGACUGGAAUUUUCAAUCUACUUCUGCAUAUAUUGUCCAUGAAUGGUCUUCGUAUCUUCUCUACUCCUUUGUGGGUUUUUCCAGUUAAAACUGGAAAAAGUGUGAGGCCGUACGUGCACUGUAAAUUUGUUGAGUUAGAAGACCUCUGAAGGCUUUGCUUACUCAUCAAAUGAAACGAAUUUCCAGAUGAUGGGUUCUGAUGCUUGCAGACAUUUUCAGUCUUAGGCUUCACUUUGGGGCAGUAUUUCCCUGGCGUCAGUCACUGCGCAGCACAGAGCUGCCUUGUAAGGAGCACUGAUGGCUUUGGAGGCUGCCAAAAAGUGUAUGUGGGCUGGCGGCAUGGAUGCCUGCGUUUGGGUGGGAUUUUUGAUGCCAGAAUUUAGCCACAAAAAGUGGAGGGGAAACAACAACACGGAGCCUGUUAUUUAGCACUAAAAAAAUAAGUAGUAAUAAGUACAUUAGUGUCUCAGUAUAGCGAUGCUGAAAUAUUGUAAAAAGCAAGAGAUUGCAUGAUAUUGCUUGCCAUUUAGACACCUCAGCCUUUUUCAAAACACUUUGGACAAACAAGGUCACUCUCACAUUUCGGGGAAAAAAAUGUGUAGAAUAAGGAGGGAAAUUUGGAUGUGAAUAUUGUCCGGUGAGUUGACGCAAAGUAUUUUGGCUGUUAUCUUUAAGUGGAAUCUUGAAGUUACCAGGUGCUUUACAGUUCCACGCCUGAACUACUGCCUCCAGAGAGAGUAAUACCCAAAUUCUUUUGUUCUUCACCCAGAGUUCUGUGGUAGUUGUGCAGAGCGCUCACAGUUUGUGAGCACGAGAGGUGGAGUGAAGGGCGAAUUGCCCAAGUUGCUGUACUAAUGCUAUAGGAUUUGUAGGAUCUGAGACUGUAAUGUUUUUAUUAAAUAAUUUAUUUCCUAGCACAUAGCUUUCUACUACAAAUCCUCGUUUCCCAAGUGAAAGUGCAUUAUUCUGAAACCAUGAUCACAAAAAUAAUUUAGCUAAAAUUUGGCAGCACGUCCUAAAGUGAAGCUGUAAAACCUGUAUUGAAAAUGAAAUUUCAGUCUCUGUGGAAGGUUAUGGAGCCAGUACAUUCCAGCCCUUCCUCAAAUGCACAUAGUGUUCAGCAGACAGCUGAGGCAGUGCUUGCAGUUCAGUGGAUGCCCUGUGUAGUUUAGCUGGGGUUUCAGCCAGAGAUAAAAGUGGAUCCCAUUGAUGAGGGGAGGCUGCAUGGUGGAUGCAACCCAACACUGUACUGCUGCUGCGUGGCGGCUUGCUGCUGAAUUACUCUGCAUGCCUUCUUGGCAAUGCUAUUAAAAGAUUCUCUUCCUAGACAGAGAAACACAUCAGCUGAAGGAUCUGCACAGACAUUUUCUUUGACUUCAUAGUUUUUUGGGUUUUUUUGUGCUUUUCAGCCAAACAGCACAGUGAUUCACCUUGGGCACUUGCUGUGUACUAGCGUGGACACAGCAGGAUUGAGAUCACAUGGCUAAAAGACAGUAUCUUUUGGCAACACAUGCAGCAUUAGAUGGUCCUAAUGAAAUGAAACUUCAGUAUUUUACUGCUUAUGGUAUAAGAGAAUGUCACUUUUGAGUAUCUCAAAGAAUAUUUAAUAUGGCUAAGUGAGAAUCAAGCCUAAUUAAAUUAAAUUAUUCUGAAAUCUUUGUAGAAAAGCUUCUAAACUGUAAAUAACUCCCUUCCUUCCUUCCCUUUUCUCCUUAAAAAAAAAAUUACACUAUUAUCUGCAGUUUAGUUGCAUUAACUUCCAUUCUGUGCCUGAUCAUUAUUUUCAGAAAGCAGAGAACUAUGAUAAAUUGAUGUAUUUUUCAUAAUGUAAUAAAAUUAUAAGCUACAAAAGCAUGUAUUGGCUGGUCAGGCUUGUGCAGUUAAAGUAAAAAGUAAAAGAUUUGGUUCUCAUUCUGCAGUACUGACAAAUACAGCAUAUCAGCACAAAAGUGAUCUAUGAUUCAUUCUGUAUUUGAGUGAAUUUCUUCGCGAAUUGCAUGAAAGAGUUGCAUCAGUAUCUUAUCUCUUUCAAGAGGCAGUCAGCUUUUUCUACAUAUUGAAUUCUUUAUUGUCUUUAUAUUCCUGCAUGGUAUUUUGUUUUCCUUGUUUUAACUCCAUAAAAGAUGACCGUGUUAUGCAUUCACUAAAUGCCAAACAUUGCUUUUUACAAAAUGCACUGUGUAACUUGUUUGUUCCUGAGCUUCCUUAUGGAAAGGAUGUCCUGUGUUUGUUUACGUUCGUAGAUUGCUGUACUGUCUCGUAACUUUUGUGAAUGCCAUUGCAUUUUAUAUGCUUACGCAUGUACAGCACGUAAGCCAUUUGAUGGUCAGUGAGUUAUCAGACUGCUCCUUAUAGAGAUGGCAUGAGAUGAGAACAGGACUAAAACUAGAAGCAGGUGUGAAGUAAAGUUAGCAAAUACUCCAAAACAAGUAACAUAUCCAAUUGGCAGGGUGUUCUGAGGGGGUAGGUGGUGUCUGCAGGGAGAAGGACGUGCAUAGGGCAGUUGAGAAGCUGCAAGCGUGUGUGCGGGGCUCAGGGAGGUGCAGGGGGUUACAGCAGCAAUGGCUGAGCAGCCUCCUGCCUUCCUGCUCGUACUUCAAAACAAAGAAGUUGGAUGAUCAGACUCUUCAGUGGAGUUUCUUUUAGGUACUUGAGAGUUCUCAUUUGGAAAAACAGAGUGAAAGACUGCCCAGGUUUUAUGGCAGGUCUCUGUCCUGAGCCUGAAAGUGAGUGGUUAAUGUGAAAUCUCGUGAUCCUGUGUUGGGAGAAGAGUAAAGCAUGAGUGCUGGGAAAGGGCUACCGAAGUAACUUAUGUGCAAGUUGAGUUUCUGCUCAUAUGAAGCGGACAUAUGCAGAAAGAUGUUAGUACGUGUUCAUAGAAAUGAUGAUUAAUUAUGAGUAAGUAGUUUCACUUAUUUUUUUUUUCCUCUUUUUCCAGAACUGCAUUUCUCAAGCUGCUGAAGUUUGUUUGCCCAGCCCUUUGUAUAACUGAAUCCUGUAGUUGAUGCAGAAUUGCACACUAUCAGGCUGUGAAAUAGAAAAGGCAGGGAUGGUUUCUAGAUAAAUAUGAUAAAAAUAAUUUUCCAGAGUGUGGACAUAAGUGCUACUGUAAAGAUCCUGCAGAUGCUCAUGAUUCCUUUAUUGAACGUGAUGUAUUCUAUCCUGUUUGCAAAAGCACCAACAGUGAAAUGUGCUCCAACCGUGGCUUUGCAUGCACUGUUGCUUUAGGAAUUCAGUUUUGUUUCACUUCAGGAAGUAGAGCUGUAGCCUGUUACACCUCAGCAAAGACUAAAGUGACUUUUUGAUGGCGUGUGGCAGAUGAGGCUAUGUCCAGGGUGAUCUGCCCUAUCUAUGCACACUAGUAAGGAGCAGUAAGGUACAAAAUCAAUAUACAGUGCUUAAGCUUGUUCUGAGAUGCUCUUGUUCAUGAACUUUCCUUGUUUCCUUGGGUACUUCUCAUGUUCUAGCCACACUUCGAUGGACUGUGAAAUAUUUUUAAGCUCUCAGUAGAUAUACUGCAUCUUCAGCUGCAGUGCUAACAUUUAAUAGCUCAGGCUUGGAGAAUGGUAUAACGAAUGUUGUAAUGUUUAUUAUGUUUUUGAAGUUUUAUUAAUGUGCUCACCCUCUUUGUCAGGUCACCAUAAAUAAAAGGGUGUUGCCUUUUAAUUUUAAGUUUAAUAUCUGGUAAAUUACUGCUAGGUAUGUGGUUGUUCUUAAAGUAUAAAACAUUACAAAAUGGUGAAAAGGAGAGUUUGUCUAUAGAAAGCUUUAUUAGAGGCUACUUUCUGCCUCUCCUGAGAAAUUUUUAUGGAGAUGGAAGGGAUGAUGUGAAGUGGUUUACAGUGCUGGUUACUUUCAUUAGUUCUGUGCUGCAGUUUUUUCACCUUAGGUGUUUGUGCAGGUGAGAAGUAUGUCUGUACCUGCUGAUGCAUACCGUUGCGGUAUUUCUCAGACCCUCAGACAAAAGCAGGCAGACCAAAGGUGUCACUGGAUGUGGCCCUCCGCUUAUCCUGCUGCCAGGCAGCUUCCCCUCCCCAUCUUCACAGUUUUAGCUGCAAAGGGGAGUGUGAGUGCUCUGUAUCUAAGGAGCUGGCUUAGCUCCUGUCUGGCUGAUUUUUGCCCUGAGAAAGUUCAGUCUCACUUGUGAGAUCCUUGGUUGUGAGGGAGUGCUUUGGGAACUAAGCAUGUUCAAAACCCGUCUUGCCUGAGCUCUGAAUUUGUAAGGCAAGAUUUGGUUUGUUUUUUCUCUCUUUUUCUGCCUCAAAUAGGCUCUCCUUUAAGUUCCUCCUCCAGCUCUGUAGGACACAAAAGCAACAAGGGUCAGAUAAUCUCGCUGUGUGCAGAGGUGGCAACAGCUCUUCUUGGGAAAGCUGCGAAGUGCUCAGUUUUCAAGACUUUUUUCAAGAGACUUUUGUCUCCUGCUGUUUUCACGUUCAGGAAUGGAUUUGAUACUUAGAGUUAUUCAUUUUAUGUAGAGUUAAUUGAUAAAUAUUCAUCAGAGUAUUGCUGAAUUGAAUACCGCACGGCUUUAUAUUUUUAGAGGCACAUUUUCAUUCCUUCAUGCUUUCAGGAAAGGGAAGGACAAUGAAGUCUUCUCUUUAAAAUGAAGUUAAUAUCCCUUUCAGCACUUAGAGCUCCUACAAAUCUUGUGUGUUCCUGGACUCAAGAGCUUGUUUUAGCUGGACUGCUUUUUAGCACCGCUCUCCACAUGUAAUUAAAGCGCUUUGUGUGUUGUGCUUUGGUCCUAGUACAAAGAAAGCCCUGCAGCUUGUUCUAAGAGCAGCUUUUCCGCAGCCAGAUUGGUCUUUUAAACAAAGUGGUGUAACUGCACCUAACGCUGUGUUUGCGUAGUAAAUGUUUGUAGAGCUCUAAGGGAGACCAGGAGCAUCUAGGUGAGUGCACUGCGCUGCCGCACUGGGGUUCUACUGAAGACAGGAGCACUGUCUGGAUCAGGUCCCUCUCUGCAGACUCCUUUGUUUGCAGAGAUGGAAGCGACUGUUUCUUUUAUAAGGCCUAACUAGAUGUUUGUGAAAAGCUUUGAGACGCUUUUGAUUAACGACUAUGCAGUAUGUGAUUAUAUCACACAUAAUAAUAGUGGGUAGGAGGAGACAGAAUGGCAGCGUAAUUCUUGCAGCAUUGUGAAAACUUCAGGCUUUGUUCUUCUUCAAACACUGUCUUUACAUUUAAACGCGAUUUUUCUCUGCCGCUUCCCCUAGUCUUUAUCUCCUCCAACUAAAAAAAAAUACCAAAAAACCAAAAAAGAAGCAUUUCUCUACCUUUAUUUAAAAAUUAAAAAAAAAAAAAAGAAAGAAAGAAAAAGGAAGAAGAGGGAGUGAGGGAAGAAAAAGUGCCGGACAUGUAUCUGCUGUUUUGGCUAGCAUAGUUGUAUGAUACUUGAAUGAUCGGUGCUGUUCUGCUUUUACCAAAAUCGGAGCCACGCUCUUCUCCUCUAAGUUUGAGAUUGAGUGGGUGACGGUUUUGAACCUCAGAAACUGAUUUUCCCCGUUUUUCUUUUCUUCAUUUUGCAUGGUAACCUCUUGGCUGGAAAUUUAUAGUCAGGAGGUUGCUGUAGCCUGUAAUGUGAGCUCAGGUUUUUGUGACAGGAACGUUUGUUCCAGGGGGCUCCUUUUACAGCUGGGCGGGGGUUUGGGUGGAGUUGUGCUGUGGCAGAAGGGCCGCUUGGGAGCCUGGCAGCUUCUUGUGCAGGGAUGCGGUUAGUUAAGUGUUGUCCAUAUUUGAGAUUCUUCUGGAUGUCCAGCAGUGCUUUCCAGACCAGUGGUGUUUUCUCCUGCAUCUUCAUUUAGUGGUGCUCCGCAGGGCUUGCACGCUUGUUUCUAUGAGGGCAGGCAGGUGGGCCUGUGCACACUCCAGUUUUGUUGCUUCUGUUCUCCCCAGUAUAACUUUUAUUGCCAAUCAUUUGAUUUAUAAACCAGGAUCCCAGGAGGCACAAAUAGCAUGCUGGUAGCCCAAGCCAGUGGAAAGUUUAAAAACAAAAACAAAAAAACAACUAAGAUACAGUGUAGCAAUGCAUUCCUAGGCAAGAGGCCUGUCAGAGAAAUCCCUCAUGGUUUGCCAGCAGGAUGGAGAUGGCCAACAAGCAUUUAACAUGCGUGCUCAUGUUGUUUCAUGUUGUUUCAUGUUCUUUGUUAGUUGUAACGCUGGAAUAACAACUGGGGACGCUCAUUUCUGUGGGCGCUCACCUGUGUGAGGUUGGUGACCAGCAGUAGGCUUCCAUCUCUGGUGGUUCCAUCGCCAGUGCAGUUUGAGAGGGAGAACAGGUUGCUUUGGUAGAAACACCAGCUUAUUCCCCAGAGGUCUUGUACUUAUGGUCUUCCUGAAUUCUGACUUGGUGCCACCAAACAAUAAAUCCUUGCUUCCACUAAAAAUUUGUUUUUGGGAAACACAGUGUGUGAAAGCUGAUAGCACUGCUAGUGGGCAAUAUUACCGAUAUUACUUACUAGUGGGUGAAGAAAUUAAGCAGAUUAAGCAGAUCAACCUCUUUUAGAAAUGAACGUAACCACCCCCAAUGUUUUCCUGAAUACAUGCAAAUAUGCUUUGUCUUGAAGUGAAAUGCCUUCUGGUAUUGUCACUGAUGAGGCACACUAUCACAGACAGGUUGGCAGAGGGAAUUUGGGUAAGAGCUCACACCCUGUAUUCUAUAGAUGUGUUGUGGAAGACAGUAGACAGUUGUAGAUUGUAUUUUGGCUACAUGAUUUGUUUUUAAAAAAAUAUCUAAAUUAUAAGAUUGAUAUUAUAUGCCUAUAUGGAAAUAGAUUUUGUUUCAGGCCUUUUAGGUUUGCCCACACUUGCUCUUUAGACUGUUAAUCAGACUCAGAGUUGCUUAUAAGUUAAUCAUGCAAAAAAAGUUAAACUAGUAGCAAUACCAGUAUACUUCUUUCAGAGGAUACAACUCCAUUUUAUGUAUCUGGCAGUGCUUCUGUGGAGUUUUGUACUGUGAAAAAUAAGACAACUUUCCACUUGUAUGAUGUGUAUAAAUUCAAAAACAUAGAAUGUGGAAUAAAUAUUUCACUUAGUAUGGAGAAUUGGAGUGGGAAAACAAGAAUUCUCAAGUAACUGCAGAAAAUAAGUGGCAAAUAUCACAAAGGAGUGGAGAGUAAGAUGAAAGGGGAGGUGAGCCAGAAAUGUAAAGGUAUGGCAUGAACUGCUCUGAAGGGAGCUCAGUGUUCACAAUCGUGUUCUUUUGGAUUGUGACAACGUGGCAGCUGCAGCAGUUUUUGCUGUUGAAUGAGCUCCAAGCCUUCCUUAAAACCUGUCCAUUUUUGCAAGCAAUAGGGCUCUGAGACCUGCUGUUCCUGCUGUGCUAUCCUUCUUAUUGCUAGCAUGUUUAACAGAUUGAGAAAGGGUUGUACGCUUCUUUGAAAUGUAGGUGAACAAAGAUUCCAGGGUAGGUUCACAUUUUAACUCAUAUAAAAUUUAUUCUUCGUUGCAGUAGAACAUUGACUGCUUUUUCUUAACAGUCAAUACUUGCAGCUGUAAUGAGCUCGGUCUUUGUGUGGGAGAAUAGAAAAGCAGGGAAUGCUCUGUUGUGAAAAUAUACAGGGUUUUCUAUAGUAAGGAAAUUUUGGUCAGUGGCGGGGCAAUGUUUAUAGUAAUUACAGCAAAUGAAAGACACCCAUUUCUGAUGAAAGAUUUGGCGGAUGUGUUGGAAUUGUUGUAUGCAGAGACCGAUGGUAAUUACCAACUCAUGUUUCAAGUCAUUGUACAAUGCUGGUGAUGCCAAAGUUUAGAGGCUGGUGGCCAAGGGAUGAUUAGAAGUUUAUCACCAACCAUUUUAGUGGGUUGGUUUUCUACUUUUUUCCAGACUCCUCUUUUUUUUUUUUUUUUUUAACUAUGACAAUAUUAAAUUCUUUGAAAUUGAAACACUUAAUCUGAUCAUUUACAUUGUAAGCUUUGGCUUCUUUCCCCCAUGCUCUUUCUUUCCUUGUAUGCCGUACCUUAAGUAUUGAGUUUCAUUAAUAAGCAGUCAUUCUUGCUCAAAUCUAGCUGAUGUUAAUCUGUGCUAAAAACAAGUAUCAAUUAAUUUCUAAUGGUAUAACUUCAUGUUAAGCAGCAAUAUGGAGAAUACAGUAUCACAUGAAAAUCGCUCACAGACUUACCAACCUUAAGGUAGAUGCAACUUUGUAAUGUUUGUCCUUUUCACCUUCAUGACAUUCGGCAUAAGUAAUGUAUUUGAUACAGUGGCAGGAGAAAACGUGCUCUAUGUGAAUCAGUUGCUGAUAAACACACCAGGCUACAGCUCGGUCACCAGUGAUGUGUUGGGGCAACAUCUUAGCAAACUCGCUUUUAGAAAUGAAUUGUUUGCUACAAGCAAACAAAGAAGGAUCAAUUUCUUUUCUCCCGAGAAACCUUGGUGGCAGUGGUGUGGUCUUAGACAGCCAUUUUUCUUUUUGCUGUUAGAAAACUUCUCUGGCCCACUUGGAAAAUUUAUUAUUUUAAGAUACCGCCUGUAAUCUUUCUCUCUGUUAUGAAAUUGAAAGGUAAUGCUAGUAUUCUCAUCUUUCUAAAAAUAUAUAUAUAUUUUUAAACUCAGACUCCCGAGUGCUAUUCUGUUGAAGCGUGUGUCAAAACAAGAGCCUGUGAUGUAAUGGAGACUUGGAAACGCUGCAGUUGUGCACUUUGAAAGUAAGUCAAAAACUUUCCAGUUUUGAAGAUGACCCACUGGAAAAAAAAUAGAGAGUUUGGCUUGUGCAGUUUCAACUUUCUGCUUUGAAAGCCACUGCUGCUUGCUUUUUCAUAAAGUUUGUGGUGGUUCUUUUUUGAUCUUACGUGUAUCAGCAUUGCAUCUGUUGGUUCCCUUUUUAUUUGUGGAUUUUGCAGGGAUAACCUGUAAGAGAUACCAGAGAGACUGUUAGCUAUGUUUCCUGUAUACUUCCUAUUUCCUGGGAAAAAGAUAUGAGUUUUUUAGUACUAGAAAGCAACGAAUUCAUAUGAAAGUAUUUUAAGAGCCUUGUAUAAUUACUUCUCCAAUACUUCAUCUUCCUUCGUUCAUCCAUUCUCAGCUCUAGGAUAGAUCUGACUGCACUGCACAGGUCAGCUAAACCAAUUAGAAAGGUAACCCAGAAAGAGGCAGGCUGGAGGGGAAAUAAGCUUAUGGCUUGUGUGAACUGCAUGGCUUGAAUUAAUCUAACUUCAUUUGUUUAGGAGGAGUUAAUGAGAUUUAGCUGAUUAAAUUUCAUUCAAUUUGGUUUUUGAAUGUCUUCUGCAGGAGAGGAGUAUGGCAAGAGUUAGUGCUGAAGCCACUGCAGGGGGAGAGAACUGCGCUGUAUCAUUACAAGUGUUUGAAAACUUAAGAGUGUAGUGUGACCCUUAUUUGCAUCACUUAUGAUCUGAUACCACAAAUAUCUGAAUAUUGCUAAAUCUUGUUGCUUUGUUCAUAUAUAUGUACACAAUAAAUUCAUGUUCGUAUAUAUAUAUAUUAGUAUAAUUUUGAGGAAAUGCCACCAGCCUUAAUGGCCCCAUCACGAGAAGAGUGUUUUGCAGGGCUCUGGAACUGGGUGUGAAAACUGCACUGCAGCAGUAUAACUAUUAGACCAUUCUCAUAGUUACUCUGCCCGCUGUUUCAUGUGCUAUCAUUUGGCCAAAUGGCUGCUGUCUGUACAUUAUUUUGCAUCUUAUUUGCUGGGCAGUAGAGCCUUACAGAGGUUGUGUGUGUGUGAGAUUGUGGUGGGGAAGUCUCUGUAGAAGGGAAAUGUGUCCUUAAAAGUUCAAAGAAUAUCUUUUUGCAAGUGUAAGCUAAUCUCUGAUUUUCCCAGAGGGUAUCGUGGCUUUCUCUGGAGUAAGUGGAAUUAGCCAACAGUGUUUAUGGGGGUAAGCCCAAAAUGAUGAGUUAAAUGGUUCUUUUUAAAGGUUAUUUUCUGAUGGUUAUCUUAAGGUGUUGAACGACGUAGGUUUUCUUUUUCUUUUUUUUUCUUCCUACUUCUGUCAAAAUUUGUAUAUAAACAGUAACAGUAUGGAGUAAAAAGCCUGAAAGAUAAAUAGGACAGCUGCUACUUAUAGCAGAGGGGAAAAUGUGCUUUAUAAUUCUUGCAUAAAAAUUGGUUCUCUGGGAUUUUUCACUAAUUAAUAUUGUAAAGUAAUGUUGCCCUUGGGAUAAUUUUAGGAGGUUGUAAAUACUCAGAAUAUUUGACUUAAAUGUGUGUUUUUCAUGUGUUUGCAGAACUAAUUCUUUAAUGUUCUCCUGACAGUUAAUCAUCUUGAAUGGUGGUCAUAAUCAGUAUUUUGCUUUUUAGAGCUACUCUGCUGCACCCUUAUUUCUGGGGAAAAAGUAAAAGUAGUCGGAAUGAUAGAACUGAACUGAGAAGACCUUGCUAAGAAAUUGUAUGGUGGUUUCUGGGAAACGAUCUCUGUUUUUUACCUUUCUAAGGAGAAAAAAAAAGGUCCUAAUUAGAUGAAUGUUGAAAGAACAGCUUCCUUUUUUUUUUUUCCUUGGAAAAAGGUUCAAAUUUUGAAUACUGUAACAGAGACUAAUUAGAAGAUCUGUUGUAACCCACUGGUGGUAAGAAAUUUGCAUAUACAAAAAAAUGUAGUGACAUCUGUGUUACUGGGAAGUUUAAAAGGAGUUUGACACUUGAGUGUGAUGCUUCUCAACCAAGCAGAAGCAUGUAAGCUUUUAAAUUAUUUUCCCCUUCUUUUUUACUUUAUAUAUGUAGAAACAAGUGCUGUCACAUUUAGGGAAUUGUUAGGUGGACUUAAUGUAUUGUAGUCCUGCUGGACGUGUUCUAUUUUGGGGAAAUGUUAGCUUUUGAAGAAGUUCACCUUCAGGUAGCAUUGGGUUGUGCAUGGUGUUUGGCCUCAUGACGGUCCUGGGCUGAUCUUUCUCCCUCUGCCAAUUAACUUAAGGUGUCAUCAGGAGGCAUUAAUGACUUCAGUGUUAACAGCAGUAUUUGUAAUUGUUUAGCCAGGGGGUGCCCUUAAAGGGAAGGAGAGGAUGGCAGGACAUAGAGAUGUCAGGACAUCUGCAACGUGGCCCAUGCGGAUGGCCGUGCUUGAGAGUCAGGUCACAGUGCUGCGAGGGAGACCUCAGAGAUGCUGUGAUAUACCUUGGCUAACUUUCUUGUAAUAGUCUACUCCUGUUGUCAUUUAAAAACAGGUUUGGUUUGGCUUUUCCCAUCGUCAGUCAAAGAUGGGUGUUAAUAACUUGACUGCAUUUCUGGUUGGUUUUGGAGGGUCUUAAGAGCGGAAGUAUGCAAGUGUAGUUGUUGGUACAGCUUUCUUUCACUGGUGGGAAUGGUCAUUUUUAAGUCACUUCCAGACAUUGCUUUUGUCUGCCUGCAAUACCUUGCCUAAGACCAAAUCUUUUCUAGCUCAGGUGCAUGCAAGUAGGAAGGUAAGGGGUCUAGCUGGGGCUGCAGCCACUUGAACCAGCUGGAACGUGGAGAAUUGCACACUGCAUACUGAAAGACAACUUGACACAGUUCUUGAAGAUCAGAGAGAAACAAGCAAUCCAAACAGGGCAUUGCACAACAGAAAAUGUGCAUCCUUAACUAUAUGACAUCUUUCCCUCAGGCUGAGACAACGCAGUUUCAAUGUUAAUGGCCGAAUGCUCACAGUACAACAAGUAGUUUAGGUAAUUAUCUCAGGGGCUGUCUUUGUUUUUGCUGCACCUAAUGAAGUAGGCUAUGUUUGUGGUUUAAUUUGUUAUGCACUAUGGUAAUAGAAAUAUUUAAGUGCUUAAUUCUUACUAUAUAUACUUGAAAAUCACAAUCAAGGGAAAUUUUUAUGUCCUUUGAGGAAUGUUUUCAUGCUCUUGUUCCUGAAAUCUAAGUACUGUUUUGCAAUAAAAUUAAACACUCCAUGCUACACCCUGUAUUUCAUGUAGCUUGUGUUCCCAAGUGUGUGACGUUUGUAGUCAGUAACUGUUCUGUUACUAUCCAGAUAUAACUGAUUGUUUUUGAAGUUUGCAUGGUAUGCAAUGUCAAAGCAUUAAUUUAUCACCUAACUGUCUGAAGACAAACUGCCUUUUAGUCAGGUGGCAAAAAUCUCCAUGGGAUUUUGUAACUGACUUGGAGAGCGAGUCGUGAUGUCCUGUAGUAGUGCGUGCCCACAUUCUCCCUUCAAGAAUUUACCAGUGUGAUUAUAUAAUGAAUUUCUUGGGUUUCAUUGGUCCACUGAGGGAGAUUUAGGCACUUCAUUGUGACUGGAUGGAUCUGAAUAAUGGACAAGCCUCUCUUGCAGAGGGACCUGCAAGCUAAGCUGCUCAAAGCUGAAAGCAAAUCUUUCCUCUUCUUUCUGAACUGACAUCUGAAAGAAAUGAGAUUAGCUGAAACUUCAGCCCUGUUUCACGGAUUUUAAAAAUAGAAUGAAUGAAGGAAAUCCCUCCUUGAACCAGAGCUACAUAAAGAGAUUCUUCACAAGUAACACAUUAUCCUUGCUCUUUCAAUUCUCUGCAUUUGUGGUCAAUGUGAAGGUGGAAAUGCUGAAUGGAAUGGCUGUUUAAUGCAUUUUUCUCUCAUACCUAUGGAAACAAGAAUUUAGAUAGUGAAAUUAAUUUAUCUUUCUUCAUAUAAGAUAUCCACUGGUUUCACUAAUUCAUUUGAAGUAGGAAACUAGCAGUAUAAAUGUUUAAAAGGAGAACUGGCCUUAUUAAUUCAGUGCUCAGAGGAAUCAAUAUCACACUUUUUAAGGCAUAUUAUAAACUUUUUCCUGUGAGCCUUCACCACAAGUACUUUUAAAUAAAUAUGUGCCCAUCUUUCAGGCUGCAAUUGUCAUGCCAUGGAAGGUGAGAGAGGUAGUAAUCGCACAUUGCCAACUGAUGAUACAUGAAAUGGAAGGUGAAACAGUGCAGCUCCUGUUAGCUGAAAGCAUCAAUUAUGCUAUGAAUGUGUGCUUUAGGUUGGCUGUGUCAUUCUCUGGCUGUUCAGGAGGACCCCUGGUACAAUAUUCUUCUGUUUUCUAAAGAGCUGAGAUCUCCAGGCUAUCUGUUGUGGAGAGACACUAGAAAUAAAAAAGAUAUUCCAUGAGCUAAUGUGAUGGGAAUCACAGCUGGGGAACAUUACUUUUUAGAUUAUCUGCAAAAUCCCCCGUGUACCUUCUCACUUCUGAAAUGAUUGUUCUUUCGAGGCCUUUAUUAUGUCAAUCUUGACUCACUUCUAAUCUUCCCUUCCCACUUAGAGAAAUAGCAUUAUAGUUAUCCUCUUAGGAUCCUCGGAGUUGAUAUUGUUCAAAAUAUCAUGUGGCUUCUUUGAUGCUCCCUUUUUAGAGGUCAAGAUAAUUCUGCCUCCUUUAAAACCCUUACAGAACUGUCUCUGGGUGUGUGCUGUUCUAGUGUAUGCAGCUUUGAUUCUGAUUAUACGAGGGGAAAAGGGAAAGAGAUUUGUAUAUAUGAAUAUGUAUUUCAUAUAUUCAGAGAUAUAUUGAUAUAUACUUAGGAUAUAUUUGAAUGUGCGUAUGAAAUCGAAGCUUCCCAUAAAGCAUGCAUCUACUGAGAUAGAGAGGAGUUUUGUUGGUAUAGGUUUCAUUCAUGCAAUGAUUGUUAGGAAGAGUAGGUAUUUCUUGGUAUAAAAGAAAGCCCAGGUACUUAUAACUAUAAAACUUUACGUGAUGAUACAGUUUUUGUACAGCACCACAUGGACCUUCUCAAUAGCAUUACAUUAGAAUUAAAAUUUUAAUUGUUUGGAAGAAACUUAGGCAAGCUGGAGCGUGGACACUGCUUCUUCCUGUUGGUAGGAGUAGGAAAACAAACCAGUCAGCUCUCCUCUCCUGCUCUAAGGCUGUUAGAGGUGUGGCAGCAGCUACACUGAUCCAACCAAAGAGGAAGUACUGACAAAAAAAAUCUUUUCCUUCAAGGAUGACCUGACCCCAUGGAUUUGCAGUUGAAAUGCAACUUUGUAUAGUGGAAAGCUGAAGCGUAUGUUCAUAGUAAAUGCGACACCUCACAACAGAGACAGGUUUAUUCAUAGCUGCGUCUUGAAAUAGCGUUAGGUUUGACAUUCAAGGAAAGUACACACAUUUAGCAUACAACUUAAGUACAUGGUUAUAUUUCCGUAAUUGCUUUGUUCUCCUUUUUUUGCGUGUUACAGAAUACAUGCUUCACUGAUAAAAAAUAAUAAUGGAGAAAUUAAAUUAGAAACGGUUGCUUUUCUAAUUAGCUAUGAUAAAAAUCAAUACUUGACCAUGAAAGUGAGAAAUCUUGGAUCUUGAUUUCCUUCUUAUCUAUCUCUUGUCCAGUGGUUUGUGUUAAUUAAAUCAGAGCUAGCUCUGCCCUGGCCUCUAUGUAUACUGCUCCUGUCUAAUGAAGAAAAUAUCUGUUAGUAAUGCAGUAAGCGUAAACUAGGAAAGUCCAUUGUGAAUACUUUGAUAAGAGUAGUAGCUAAUUAUUGUGGUGAUAAACUUAGGCUACUACAAUCAAUAGUCGUAACUUUUGAUGUGUUUUUAAAAUGUGGACUGGCAAUCUGUUGGACAAAUUGUAGUUAUGUGAGGGUUUACUGCUAGUCUGGCUAAUACAGAGAAAGAUGUGGCUUGUUGGAAAUAUAUUUCUGUCAGAUGGACUUUGUCCCCUAUGUUAAGUGAUUUGAAGGGACCACUAGAGGUCGUGUGCUUCAGUGCCACACUUAAAGCUGGAAGAACUUUGAAGUUAGUCAAGGCUGCCUGGGACCUUUUCUAGAUGAGUGUCAGGCUGUUUCUGGAGAAGUUCCUACAGGCUCUCCAGGCAGCCUGUGGCAGUGUGCGCUAGGUGUUUCUGUGCUGCUCAGGGAACAAGCUGCUCAGUUUUCUUUUUGGCACUUGGUUUCUGUUUGGGUAACGAAGGCUUCUGAAUUCUUGAGUCUGGAAUAACUGUCCAACAGGGUUCUCUGUCUUUUUUUUUUGAGGCUCAGGGUUGGAAGACCUUGGAAUCUGCUGGAGCCGUGGAGGAGAUGGAUAUGACAGAACUUGAGAGUUUGUAGGUUUUCUCAGUGCUGGAAACGAUCAAAGCAGAUGUUUCAUUGAUAAUGCAAUGAAAAGAUGGAAAGACCUGACAGAAGUGAAAGAAGUUGAUUAUCUGUGGAAUGAUAUGUUGAAGUUAAGGAUUAUUUGUGCUUAGCACCUUUCUCACUUUCCAUGAACCACACUUUUCAUUCUUUAUGAUCUCGUAUCGUCCUUACUUUUGAUAUGAUAUACACAAUAUUUUUAAUACAAAAAUCUAGGCUACCUGUUCUUUAUUAUUCAUGGUUACCUCAUUUUACUACUCCUCUUCCUUUUGUUUGUUAAUCAGUGCUUGACUAUUACCUUAUUAAGAGAUGGAACAGUCAAAACUGAGAUUCAUGUCAGAAAUAUAUAAUUGUUCACUAAAGGUUUCCUCAGCUGUGGUCUAAACCUACUUGCCUGGAAAGCAGCAUUGUCCGAACACCCUGCUGCUACUCCUUGGAUGACUGCUCCUAUCACUUGGUAAUCUAGAAGCCAUUGUGGGGCAGGAAUGUCUGUUAUUUAAACUAGUAAAUGUAAACAAGAAGACCCAUUUUUGUCAUGAUUUAGUGGUAGUAUGUUUGCUUAAUGUAAAGGAGCACUUUUAGCGAUAGUAAAUCGCUAAGUUUGUGUCCUGGAUUGGUGGUUUUGGACAUACUUGUAAAAAGCAUGAGACUGUAAGUGUGGAAAACCACACCACUGGUUGUGAACUCCUAGCAACUGACUUCCCUCCUUGUGUCCUGGCAAAGAGGAUCUGUUGAGACCAAUUUGGGUUGUACUUGUGCUUUAAUGGUUCCUGUCCAUCUUGGGCUGUCUGUUAGAGUAAAUUGCAGAAUCCUGCUAUUAUCUGUUAGGCAUCCAAUUGUGUGACUUGUACAACAAUCAAGUUGAGAUUUUCUCACAGAAAAACCAUUCCUAACCUUAUGUUGAGUCUCCCAUCUGAAUCUGUUUGCAUUGCCAUGUCCAGCACAAACACUGCAGCUCUUGCUCCUGUUCUCUGUUGCAGCAGAGGGGAGCAGCAAAGCCUGCCUGGCUUCCAGAGCUGUCUGAACGCAACAGCAUCAGCUGUAAUAGCCAAGAUGAGUUCCAAGGGAAAGGAAGCUGCUAAGCUGGAGAACAAUAUUUAAUUUGGCAGUAGAUUUUAUGUUGGUAUUUCAAGGGAACUGUUAGCCAGUAUUAUGGGGGGGUGGGGAGGUAGGGUUGGAAUCACAGUUCAGGAAAUGCAUGGAGCUUUGAAACUUAAGUAAUAAGAAAACCAAUCACCUCUGUGACCAGAGGUGGAUGUGCAGGCCUAGGUUUAAAGCUUAGUCACGAGAUGAAAGAAGUCAUCUGUCAAUUCUUCCAAAGUCUGAUCAUUCCUGUAAAUCACUCCUGGAGCCUGUUUUUAACAGGUGACUGAGCUGAAGCUCUGAAGGGUUCUGUUGGAAACAAGUACUGCAAAAACGUAUCUGUAAUCUAGAUUUUAUCCAUUUCUGAAUACGUGUUAAACUUGUAAUACUAGGCAUUGUGUUCCCAUCUGUUAAUGUAAUUUUGUAGACAAUAACUUUAAAGAGUUUUGGCUUGUAAUUUGAUCUUUAAAUGUUAUUUCAUAAUGUAAUACGUUUGAUACUUAUUGUUUUUCUGAAAAACUCAUUUUACUCACAAACUGCCCAUUCUUUCUUCUUUUCAGUGAAGUUCAUACUGUUGAGGCUUCUCAUAGGCUGCCUUGUUAGCGUCAAGUAUUCCACUGAAACUGAAAUGAGUAAUGUUGUUCUCAGUAUGAAAACGCGUGUUAGUUUGAGGGUGUUUUAAUCUGCUUUUCAAUUAAAAUGCACCUUACUAUAAAUAAAGGUACUGCCCUGACUUUCUCACUUUGGCAAAAGUUUUUUCCAAAAGACUUCCCCAAGAAGUCAGAAGUUGUCAGGUUCGUAAGUGAAAGUGAAAGUAACUGCAAAUCAAAUGAGACCUGAACUUUUGAGGGGCUGCCCCGUGAUACAGUGUGCCCGUGUGUCUCAUGAAAAGCUGUGCUGGUCCGUUUGCAUGUCCAAGUUUUUUGGCUCCUUUUUGUUAAGGAGUGGGCUCCAUAUUUGAUCUACAGGUUAUUUGUUUGGGGCUUAAGUUCGGUAAUAUUGUUUAAACACUCAAAAAUUUAGGCAUAGGGUUGGUCUCUAAACUGACCUGUUGUUUAGCUGACAGUUUUGUGAGGUCUCUGGUUCAAAUAACUAAAGCCGUAUUAUGUUUAGGUUUUCCAAGAUUAACAUACAAAACAACUCCUUUUUCUUUUGUAUCUUUGAACCCAAUUUGUCCAUAUGCAGAAGAAGUUGGUUUUAUUGGAGCUCUUUUUGCAAAUAAAUUCUGCCACUUGUAUGUGUUUCUUGUUUUUGGUGAAAGGCAUAUCUUGUUGCCCUUCAGUCUGCAGCCUGUGGUUUUUUUUUUUUUUUCCUGCAGCUCUGUGUUCUUAUUCAUCAUUUGAUACAAAGAAUUCAACAGUGCAAUAAUAAAGUUGGGAAUAGGACUGCUUUGUAGGGGCUUCUUCAGAAGGAUACAGGAAUGCAGAUAGAAGGGAGUCUGCAGUAAUAUAGAAGAAUGGUCAAAGUAAUGUGGGUAUGAGCAAAGCUAGGCCAGACCUUAGGUCAGCCCUACUGAAUGGAGAAGAGCAGAAUAUCUCUGAACUGGGGACAAAAUCCAAAGUGAUACCGGAGUUAAAAUAAUCUGUGGUACUGUUAAUGGAAAGAAUCUGAGGUUGAUGGAGGUUUCAAGCUAACUGCUUGGGGUAUCGCAGUCCGAAUCUGUUUGAUUAUUCUUGCUACCUGUGUUUUUGUAGUUAGAUAAUUAGAAUUUUUAUGUGGACUUAAGUAUUUUGAUCUAGAAGUUCUUAGAAGGACCACAGCUGUCAUAUUUUAACAUGUUAAUAUCUCUAUUUUGAAAGAUACCCGUUUUCUCUUAAAGUGAGAUUGAUAUACCAGCAUAUAGGCACUUGUUAUCUAUAAGUUGGGUUCAUUUAUGGUCAAACAGUUGUAUUUAUUUGUCUCUCUAACCUGUUUGCUUUUUUUCAUCAACAGGAAGGGAAUUGGAAAUGCAUGACAAUCCCGGAGAACAAGAUCGUUUUAGUGACUCAUUUGUUUAUGCUAAAAUCUACUGUGAAUAGGUUCCAUGCUGACUGACAGGGCAUGACUUGCAUGUAAUUCUGGCUACUUGAAAAUUGUACCGAUUAACAUGAGGUCUGGCUUUGCGUUUGCCUGACAUGGUUCCACCAUGUUACCAGUGGUAACUUUCCCCACUACCGUUAGGAGCACUUAUGUACCACUUCUACGUCUCCUUCUUGUAUUCAAAAAUGUUCCAAGGGUGAGGCUAUGAAAAGCAAUACUGCUGUCUCUGUUGCUUCAUUUCUGUCCAACCACAACAAUUUUGCUCUUGAAUUUUAGAUCAAAACUGCAGCCAUAGGGAGUGCCAGGCCUGAGUGAUGUGAUGGACACACCCAGGGCGUAUGCUCAGGGAGUAUCAGGUGUUUAUAACUCCUACUCAUCAUGUUUCAUUGGUUUAUCUUAGAAGAGAAUAGUAUAUCCUAACUCAUCUGUUUUUACCCUUAGCUGCCUGAAAAGGAAAUGGCAAACAUCUUCUAGAAGUGCAAAAUCUAGAAUUAUCAAUGGGGGGGGAAAAAAGACCAACACCUUGAGAAUUCUAACUGCAGUGGCACUCAGCUGAAUCUUAUUUAUACAGGGUGUGGUAUAGCUGCCAGCUAGGAGAGGAGAUGGGAUGAGGGAGAGAGGCGCAGCUGUGCAUACAUGAGCCAAAGCAAACAGCUGCUCAGGUGAUCCUGGUAGGGCUACAUGAGCCCUUAUACCAUACCAGUGGACCUCGGCUUAAUCCGAGUGUGUGCCUGGGAUCUGUUGCAGCAUGGUAUCACUGACAUUGACUUUUUUCUUUCUUUCUUUUUUGAUAAAAGGUAACCUUAUUUAAGAGACAUGCAAACUUCUAUGUUUAUUAAGCAAUGAAGUGUGCUGCUCAUUUGGUCUGAUGUGGCUAGUGGAGAAAUCCACCAGAAGUGUCUCUAUUAGGCAUGCCGGGAGAGACUUAAGCGGAUAAGCGAAGAGAGAUUCCUUACUUCGUUUGUCAGUUAACAGUUAUUAUAAAAGAGCUCUUUUGCAUUACCAAAAUGAGUUAGAAAGUUUCAGCCUUGCAUGAGGGAUGUACCAUUCACUGAUGGCUUUUGCAGGGUGGUAUUUUCUUUGGGAUUCACUGUAGAUUUUUCAUUUCCAAUUUCUUUUAUUUGUUAUGAGGCUCGAGGAAAAAAGAAUAUUUGUAAAGGAAAAGCUGGGCAAUAUGCUGGAGAUGAUUAAAAACAAAAAACACAGCAAUAAAGCAAAACAGAAAAUCCCAAACAAAUAGAACCUAAUGAAAAGCUAACCUGUCAGCCUGUCUUAUUUGAAAAGGACACAGACUUGAAGUUUCUCAGACAGUUUUGUGUGUCUUUCCCCACCGCCACCCGAAUCGAAACUUCGUUUGGACUUGCAGCAUCUCCUUAUGCAUUAAUUGCAUGCAUAAAGUGUCACUUUUUAACACUUUAUAGGCGUCAUAAAGGAUCAGCACGUACUUUUAUGAAAGCUUGGGCUUGCGACCUGACACCUAGUUUAUGUAACCUAGAUAUACCCUGCUUGGUACAGCAAAGAGCAACUUGAGACACUUCAAAAUGUUUCUGACUUGUAAAACCAUAUUCACAGCUUUUAAACCACAAAAAUUUGAAUCUCUUCCGGAUGAAAGUGAUAGACUUGAGCACAUCUGUAGCUUCUUAACGUCACCAAGCAUCUUUUUCUAAUUUUUCCUUAACUCUUUGUGGUGUAAUUGCUGUUUACUUGUUGGACAACAAAGUGAAGCGGACUGUCUGCUGCUGACUGUUUGCAGAAGAUUGCUAUGCUCUGAAAAUCAUGUGGCGGGACGUUUGCAACAGGAUUUGCUAUAAAUGUUGUGAAGUAACCAAGAACAGCACGUUGCAUUUCUCCUACUUGGCGAUAGAGUGUGUUGAAAAUUUAUCUUUGAGUAAAAAACAGGUUUUUGCAUUCCUGGUGUAGGUUUAGAGAGGUAAAAUGCAAGAAAAAAGAAUGGUAGGUAUAUUUUAUGCUCAGUGCAUCUUAAAGAUAAUGUCUCCUGAUAAAAGCACUGAUUUGAAUCCUACUACAGAGCGUAUUCAUUCCUGCAGUCAACUUGUGCAGUCUCGUAGUGAAUACAGAAUUGGGAAACCAUGGGAAUGUUUUUGUUUUAUCUAUAGUAGGUUGGUGCUGAGUGGUGAUUGUGUAUUCAGUGGUAGUGGUCAUGCAGAAAGAACGUUGCACUACAGUUGCUGAUAAGUAUCCUUUCUUUAUUCCUUGCACAUCCGUGCACAUGUGUUGCUGUUAAUAGGAAAUCACUAACUUGGUCACUGUGACAAAGUUACUUACCUGCACGUAACUUCUGAGCUGCAUCUCUGGUGCCAGUUCUCAUUAGAUGGAUUAAAUUCAAUUAUAUUAGUACAAUGUAAGUAAUAUUGGAGAAAAGGGGAAAUAGCUUUUAGACUUACCAUGAAAAUACCUGAUUUCUAGCUAUAAAACAGCAACUGAUUUUUUUUCUUUGAGUAAAGGCUAAUUUUCAUGAGCAGAGUACUGGGAUGUUGUUGCAAAUUCCUGACACUCUGUAAGGCUUUUUGUUUGUUUGUUUUCCCUCGUGUAUUUGCAAAUUAUCUUGGACUGACCCAAAGCUACAUUACUUUCCUUUUUCUAAAAGGAAAAAGCGAGUAGUUCUGUUUUAAAAGUAUUUUCUAUUUCAUACAGUUCAGCAGAAGUUUUAUUUACGGAGCUUUUUUGUUUGUUUGUUUUUGUGGGGUGUUUUUGGAGGGAGGUUGAUGUAUUUUUUACUUAGUGCCUGCUGACGUGUUCAAACCCCAUUCUGAUAAUUUUUUGGUCAGCUUUGAUAUUUGGUGUAAAUGAGUCAAGCUUGUGCAAGGGAAAUUGAUAAGCAGAUUAAUACUGCGGGACCGUAUUCUAUUUUGGAUGUUCUAUAGUAGCUCUUUUAGUGGUUGUUUGUCAAGGGUUAAGUACGUUGUUAGCUAAGAUUAUCAUAGGUGGGAAAUAACUCAAAUUUGUCUCACUGCUGGGAGCCCAGGUUUGAGAGCUGUUAACGCUUUCUGUGUUCUGUUCUGUAUUUAAGACAUGAAUGGGACCGCGAAGAUCAGCUGGCAAGCAGGACUCGUUGAGCCACUCACUUCCCUAAUUGCCAGGAGGGAAACCAUUUUUAUUUAAUUUUAAUCUGCCAUAAGCUGAGCGUGCAGUUCUUUGAGCCACAAAAGCUAAAAUCCUGCACCAGCCUUUAAUGUAUGUUCAUACAUAAAAGCUGUUUAAUUGGUUUUGUUUGCCUGUGUCAGAAAUUAAGUGUGAAGUCUCCUGCCUUAUCCCUUCUGAUUAGAUCUGCAAAUCCAAUCUUUUAUAGAGGGUAUGUUCUAAACAACUAUGAUUGCUGCUUUGGUUGCAUCUUUUAUGAAUGCUUUGUUAAAAGCAGGAGGGCUUAUUUUAGAUUUGGUUUUCACACAUGUGGUAAAUAUCUGUCCCUGCUUACAGUUUCACGAUUUGCUCCAAUUUAACCUGCUUUUUUUCAGGCUUGUCCCCUUUUCUCUGAGCUGCAAGCACCUCUUAAGGUGUCAGCAUUAGCAUGCUACCAGUGGGAGGAAAAGUAAAACGAGGCACCUUAUUCAAAAGAAGCUCUUACAAAUAUGGUAGUGCACAAGUAUUGAAUCUCCAAACUGACAUCCCCUGUAAGUCUGGAUUGUUACUUUCCCUCGAACUUGGUUUACAGGUUUUUUCCUCGCUGUUUUUCUUGAAGUUUGUUUCCAAAUUCUCCUUGACUUUCUAUGCAUUAUCACCAUCAGUGGGUUGGUUGAUAGUGGCAUGAUACAUGCGUGGUAGGCAUAGAUAUCCAUGCCUCUGUAUAUUUGUAUUGUACAACUAUAAGUAAUUUUGUUUAAACACCUUUGUUUGCCUUGCUGCAGAUGUGUAUAGCCACACAGGGUGGCAUGCCAUGUAAUGUGGGAUUCUUGUUACACCAAGUAAAGCGUAUGUCAAGAUGCAAGCAACUUUAUUUUUUGAACUACCUCUGCAUACCGGAGUACCCCAAUUAUCUCUGCAUUAGUAGAAACAAUAUUUAUGUUGACUUUCUUUGUCCAAAGGGGCUUUGAUGUAGUCUUACCUUAUACCUUCAGUUAUUAUAGACUUUCUAGAUCUGACUUCAGCCUGUGGCGCCUGCUAAGUCCUCCAAAUCCGGCAUUUGCUGCUAGGACUUUAUUUUGCUGUAGUUCAACAUAUUUUUCUGCUUAGCUUGUCGAGUAGAAGAGAUGUGGUAGAUCAGCUAACGUAAUCUUUUUUUUUUUUUUGGAGUCUGGGAUUAGUUAAAUUAUCCAUGUUUUGUUCUCAGUACGGCAAAAGGAUGCAUUUUGAAUAGAUGUAUUCUUUGGAUUCCUGACUAAAGGUUAGAGUGACACAAUCAACCUCACGUUGACAAAUCAUGUGAAAUCUCACUUUUUGCUGGUACUUAGCCAUUUUCCCUCCUGUGACAGAAAUGCUUGUAUUAGUGAACAUGUUUGAAUGGAACUGAUCAGAUUGCAUGAGAUUUCAGAUAAUUGCAUUUUCCUUCUUUCCCUUCUGCAAAAGAGAAAACAGGUGGUAUAAGUGAG